UACAGAGGGGGCAAGCGUUGUUCGGAAUUACUGGGCGUAAAGGGCGCGUAGGUGGCCUUCUAAGUUGAACGUGAAAUCCCUGGGCUCAACCCAGGAACUGCGUCCAAGACUGGGAGGCUUGAAUCCGGGAGAGGGAUGCGGAAUUCCAGGUGUAGCGGUGAAAUGCGUAGAUAUCUGGAGGAACACCGGUGGCGAAGGCGGCAUCCUGGACCGGUAUUGACACUGAGGCGCGAAAAGCCAGGGGAGCAAACAGG
rnacentral:rRNA from 1 species